UUGCUACGUUACACUUCUAGUUUCGUUUGCUGCCUUUGCCUCUCCAUCCCACUCUGCGUCAUCCACUCGGCUCAUCUGCCUUGGCGGCCUCGUUUAGCUGCCGUGCUUCUGUGGCCUCGCGUGCUGCUGCUGCUGCAUCGCUCGGCGCGCGUGUGCGUGUGCCUUCUUGUGACGUGCUUGCUUAAAAGAGGAUAGGUUCGGAGGGAAGGGAGGACGCACGUGCGUGUUUGUCUUUUUGCCUUGUCUCUCUCUGUUUUCUCUUGCCCUUGCUUGCGGCGUCUCGUGCUCGUGCACACACGCACACGCAUACACAGACUGAUUUACAGGGCGCCUUCGCUGGCGUCGACAGCAUCUCCGUCUUUCUCUCAUUGCCUCAUCUCUCUUCUCCACACUUCGCCUUUGUGCCCGUGAGUGCACGCGUCGGGUCUUCUGUACUUAUAGCCUCAGUCAGAGCGCUGCUGCGGCUUCGCCCGCUUCCCGCGCCAUUCUGCCCCUCCCCCACACCCCAACAGCCGUCUUCGUACCCAUCGUCAUGCUCAACUGGUGGCUCAUCGUGCUGAUCGUCCUGGUGGCGCUCGUCUGCGUCGGCCUCACCAUCUACACGUUCAUCUACUUUCAGUCGGAGGAGGACUCGAAGUGGGACUAUGUGCCGAAGGCCGUCGCCGGUCUCGGACUCAUUCUGGCCAUGGGCAGCAUCCUGCUCGUCCCGUACGAUGUCGCGAACUCGCCAGACCCCACCGUCGCGCACAAGUACGUCCAAACUCUCAAUACGCAGCUGAUGUGGGAAAUUGUGCUGUGGAUGAUGGCUGUCAUGGCGGUCGUGGUGUGCCCCUUCUUCAUGUUCUUCUAUGAGGCAUAUGACCCGGAUAAGCCGAGCUUCGGCACACAGGUCUCACACGGCGUCAUCUCUACCGUUAUCAUCGCCUUCCUGUUCGCCCUUAUCGUGGGCCUCUGCUACCACUUUCAGGGCGUCGCAGAUAUCGCAUUCCAGGCCUACAAGGGCAACCCGCAAAUGACCUUGCCGGAGAGCUCUACCAUCAGCUACGUGGGCAACUCGAUCAAGUCAACCAUCACCGUCUCCGUGAGCAUCUACACCUACUGCAUUGGCAUGCUCUGUUUCUUUGGGUGGAUCUUCUUCUUCUUCUACGGCGGCGCCGGUAUUGUUGCCUACCCCAUGAGCCUCAUCCAGAACUUCAAGUCGCGCCCCAAGGCCAUUGGCGCGAGCAGGUUUGCGGAGGAGAUGGCCAUCAUUCUGGCCAAGGCGGACGCCAUGCUGGAACUGUGCAUGGGGCUGCAGCAAGAAAGCCGCGGCAGCAUCUCGCGCUCCACGAAGAACAAGAUCAAUAUCCUGCGCAACGAGGUGUACUUCCUGGAGGCGCAACAGGCGCAGCUCAUUUGGGCAUACACGAAAGCCGGUGGCUCGCCUUUCAUUGUGUAUGGCAAGCUGGCGCUGGGGGUCGUCUGCAUCGUCACGGCGAUCAUGUGGUGCCUGCAGAUUUUCGUCUACAACACCUUCGACGCGGACCCGUUUCUCAACACGCUACUGCUGCGCCUCAACGACGCCUUCGCGUUGUGCGGCGUCUGCGCCUACGGCGUCCUUGCCUUCUACCUCACGUGGUCGACGUUCCAGGGGCAGAUCGCGCUGGGGCUUCGCCUCGUCUUCUUCCAGAUACACCCGAUGAAGAAGCACGACACCCUCGUGAACGCCUUCCUGUUCAAUGUGAGCCUUCUUCUGAUCACCUCCUACGCCGUAAUCUACUUCGUUGUCCACUCCUUCCAGGACUAUGCCACUAUGACCGCCAUCAACGGUCUGAUGAACGUCUUCGUGACGCGUCUGCGCGGCAUCGGCGUGUUUAUUAGGUGGGCGCAGUUCUGCUUUUUGGGCAUGUCGCUGCUGACGUUGAUAUGGAUGGCGGUGUGCCCCAAGAGGAAGAGCCGCGAUCCGACCAAGUUACGGCUGGAUGAUUUGAGCUAACACACGACGUACACACCGAGCACCCCUCCUCCCCCUCUUCUUCCGCUGCUGCGGCUGCUUCAUCCGCCUUCUCCUCCUUUCUGUGUGUCACGAGUGUUUUGCCGUUGCGGGCCAUGCUGCAGAGCGGGAAAGGGAAUGACAGGGCGCCAUGAGUUGGUGCGUGGGUGAGUGCGUGGCGCUGGCCUUCGGCUUGCGGGUGCUUCUCUUGAUUUUUUUCAUUGCUUGCUCGUAUCCGCACAGCAACCAUCAGCGCCCUUCUUUGUCUAUUCCCCUUCUUCCCUCUCUCGCUGUUCUUCGCUUCUGGUGUACUUGCUGUUGCACCCUCCCGCUCCGCGCGCGUCGUCGUCGGUGGGCGUAGGCGCGUUUCACAUGCAC
rnacentral:misc_RNA from 1 species